UUUAUUUUAGAAAUAAUUUUGGCCUGAACGUUCAUGUGAGCUGAUGUUUUAGAGAAAACGUUUGGACUUUUAUGAGCUGAAGUGACCAAACCUUCUGGCAGAAGAACCGAACAGAUUUAAACUGUCUCGGUUUUUGGAGCUUUUCAUCACAAACUAAAAGUUUCUAAAAUCUUUUUGUACAGGAAUCAGCAGUUUGGUAUCUGCUGCAGGUUUUUACCCGGAGCAAGGGCGCCACCGUGUGGCCAGAGUGAGCCAGCUUUUCAACAGGAUUAAUAAAAAUGUGGAUUUUGCGGCUGCAGCUUCCGGCGGUCAUCGAUCCAGCCGGACAGCUGCAGGCCCGGUUCGGAAAGCUGGACGUGUUUUAGGUCAGGACUUUUCACGGGAAAACAUUUCUUCAUGGACUGUGAUUUUUAGAAGCAGCUGAAAGUAAAAUGGAGGAUAAAAAUGUGAACUUUUCAUAACAGUCUCCUUUAAGGUCAAAGGUCAAAACUGUUAUGAACUUUUCUGCAGAAUCAAAAGUUUCUGUUUGUUUAGAAAACAUUCUGAAGUCGGGCUGAUCAAUAAAUCAAUUUGAUCCAUAAACAUAUUUGAACUCAUUGAGUGACGUCAUCGCCCCCAGAGCCGCCAUCUUGUUUAUUUGGAUUCUGAAUUCAGGUCGACUCAUCAUAUGAAAUAUGAUUUAUUUUUUCAAAUUCAGUCUAAUAACAAAGUCAAAAUAAUAAGAGAAUAAAGUUUUAAAUUUACCAGAAUAAAUUUGUUUUCCUGGUAAAAUUGCAUCUUUAUUCUGCUAUUAAUAAAUAUAAUAUAAAUAUUCUCGUAAUUUAAACUAUUAAAAAUCUCUGCAGCCCGGUAUUAAUGCUGAAAACCUACAGACAGGAUGAUUUCUGAACAUAUUUUCUGUUAUUUGUCAUUUCCUUCUUAGAAAAGGAAGUUAGAACAAAAACAGGUUCAAAUCUGAUCUGGUGUAAAACAAUUAGUUAUUUUAUUUUUAAUUCAUAUCUCAGUUUCCAUCUGGAGUCAUCACAGUGAAAAACUUCCUGUUCAGUUUGUUCAACUAUCAAUAUUUAAAAUAAAUUAUAAAAUCUCAGCUGAUGUAACCACUGCUUUAGUUAAUGAUAAAAAAUGAAAUGAGCCUUUUCAAAAUAAAUGAAAUAGUUGAUUUGUUUGUGUGACCUUUGACUGAACCUGCUUUCAUUCAUGAAUCAGUUUGCAUUUUUUAUAUUCACUUACAACAAAAGACUUUGUGUAAAACUCUUAAAUUCACGCGCUUUGCAGAAGUUUUUAAUACAUAAACAAACUGAAAGUAACUCUUAAAAUCACAAACACAGGAUGGGAACAGAAAGGCCAUUUCUCUCACACAUGAUCUGUACAGCACCAAUAAAAAAUCUUUAGACAAAAACAUUCAGUACUAAAAUAUUUCCCGUUUUGACAUCGUUUGCUCUGACAUCAGUUUGCUUGGUGGCGAUCAGGAGCUUUUCAGGGACAAACUGAGAAAUUCUUCACAACUCAGAUGAAGAAAAUGGACAUUUUCAUGCCACGAGCUUUUAAUGAGACAAACAGGAAACCUCUGCAGGAAGCAGAACUGGCUGAAAACAAUCUGAUUUAAGAGCAGCUCAGGUUUUAUUGUUGCUUAAAGAGAUUUCAGGGGGAAAUGUAACUCAGGGCGUCUUACAGAAACACCAGGUAGAAGCCAGAAGGUAACAGAGCCUGUAGUUAAAAUAACCAAAACUAUUUUAAAAAAUGGUAAACAUAAAAAAACAAAACAAAGUCAAAUGAUGUAAAUUCUGCAGAGAACCGGUUUGGAGAAUCUCCUUCAAUACAUUCAGAGGGAAAGUUUCUCUGGUCGCUAUUACUGACAUGUAGCUUUAAAGCUGCGUAGAUAUUAGCUAACAGUGAUGUGUUACGCUGCCUAGGACAGGCUAGGAUCCCUCUAUAGCCUAAACAAAACCUGUUCAUCACAUUUUUUACAUUAAAUCAUUCUCGGAUAACCAGAUUUCAGUCUGAGCUGUUCAGGGUCUCUGUCACUUUAAAUCCAAACUAGCUGCUGCUGGCCACGCCCCCAACUCAAAAUGAAAAUGGCUGCAAACAGAGGCAAAACUAUACAACCAUACAUCUUUGAAAAGCAAUACUGAAGCCUUCUGCACAACCAACCAGAAAGCAGCAAGUCAACAACUAAUCUUGACUUUUCCAGCAGCCGUUGUACAGCAGGAAAACCAGAUGAUCAGCUGGGUUGCUAGGCAAUAGGCAGAACUCUGCUGGGGUUGCUAACCCGCCACUGUAUCGCCAGAAAUCACUCAGCUGUUCUGCUUUUUAGAAGCAUAAAAAUAUUAAAAUGUGAAUUCUGCAUAAUGUUUCACCACUGAAGCUGCAUUAAACCGUUUUCACGGAGGGAAGUUUUCCAUGGAUCUUCUCUGGUCUCCAACUUGCCAAACUAAAGUCGGGUUCUGGUCCGACCCAAAUGGACUCCAGUUCACCGACCGCAACAACAGGAAAACUAAUUUAGUGGUUUUCCUACAUUAAGAGUGUUGGUCACUUCCUGUUGUUUGGGGUUUAAUGGCCGCCGCUGGCUGCUGGGUUAACUCUAAUCAAUCAAUCGUUUCUGAUGUCACACAGAACUCACUUCCAUAAACUUAAGAUCUCAAAAAUAUUUUUACAAACAUGGAAACUCCCAUCUAGUUUCUACAGAGGUUUUUAGAUUUUCAGUCAACUUCAGAAACUCAGAACCAAUAAAAUCCAGUUGGAUUAAAUAUCAUUUUGGACUUUGGAUCCUGAAUUUCGACUUUUUC